rnacentral:rRNA from 1 species
UGGGGAAUUUUGGACAAUGGGCGAAAGCCUGAUCCAGCAAUGCCGCGUGUGUGAAGAAGGCCUUCGGGUUGUAAAGCACUUUUGUCCGGAAAGAAAUCCUUGGCUCUAAUACAGUCGGGGGAUGACGGUACCGGAAGAAUAAGCACCGGCUAACUACGUGCCAGCAGCCGCGGUAAUACGUAGGGUGCAAGCGUUAAUCGGAAUUACUGGGCGUAAAGCGUGCGCAGGCGGUUUGCUAAGACCGAUGUGAAAUCCCCGGGCUCAACCUGGGAACUGCAUUGGUGACUGGCAGGCUAGAGUAUGGCAGAGGGGGGUAGAAUUCCACGUGUAGCAGUGAAAUGCGUAGAGAUGUGGAGGAAUACCGAUGGCGAAGGCAGCCCCCUGGGCCAAUACUGACGCUCAUGCACGAAAGCGUGGGGAGCAAAACAGGAUUAGAUACCCUGGUAGUCCACGCCCUAAACGAUGUCAACUAGUUGUUGGGGAUUCAUUUCCUUAGUAACGUAGCUAACGCGUGAAGUUGACCGCCUGGGGAGUACGAUCGCAAGAUUAAAACUUAAAAGAAUUGACGGGGUCAUAGCUGUUUCCU